rnacentral:lncRNA from 1 species
AUGAUUUUACAUUAAGAGCAGUAACUGCUUAGGUUGCUAAUGAUUGUAUUGAUCACAGCAUCUGAAUAGCAUAAGUUUACAGCUGUUCAGACAUUAAUAGUUCCUUGCCUUUGUAUUAAAUGAUAGUGUUUAUAGAUAAGUAAGUUUUGAGAUCUCGAGGCUUGAUUCAGAUCUCAUUUCCCACCAGCACUAAACUAGCAUACCCCUAUUGGUUGGAAGACAGUUUUUCCAGGUUUAUCCCUGUGUGUAAGGCACCAAUCCAUCCUCUGGGAUUUUUACUGCUGUCAUAUAUUAAUGUAUGCUGUAUCUAGCUUGUCAUUUUCUUUAUCCUUCUUUGCUCUCUGAGUUUAUGAGUUAGAUUUCUGCAUAAAAUGUCAUCAUAUAACAUUGUGCUUUAAAAAGCUUGUUACUUAUUAGAAGUGUGAGUUUGCACUGCUGGGGACAUUUUAUUUUCCCACCAGGAAAAUGAAAAUGUCAUUGAGGUUUAAGCAGACCCCUGAGCUUUUCAGACAGAAGAAAAUUGUUUUUAGGAUUCCCUGCAGGACCUGGUAGCCUUUGUGCACAUACCGUACGUCUGAAAUACGAUCUCCCCCUCAUUUAUCCCCCCCAUCAUGCAAUGACAUGAUACUGCACAUUAAGGCUCCCAGUUCCACUCUAUUACUUUGUUUGUUGAAAGAUGUGACACUGGAGCUAUGAAAUUAUCCUGGCAGGAGUCAUCACUACACUUCGUAGCUGCUGCUGCAAGAGCUAGAUUGCUACCCCAGGUACAGCCCUGAGCAAGGAAUCAUGUAUAAAAAGUUCCUGUUUCUUUCUCCUAGAAUAACUUAGAGGCACAGUGUUGCAGACUUGCAAGGAUUUCCCCACUCCGUCCAAUUUAGAUCACAACUGACUCUCCGCAGAUGGCUGUGCUGAGGUGCAAAUCCUCUCCAGGCCUCUACAAAGGAUUCUACCAUACUGUAUCAAACAGUAGGAAGAUGAACUGUAAGGAGAUUUCCAGUGGCAAAUAACCUCAGAAAGGAGUCUCAGCUAACAGUGUAACAGAGCACUUUAAUUUGGCCCAGAGAAGAUAAGGAAGAGGAAGUGAUCUACUUGAACUGGCAGAGCAGUUAAAGGCAUUAGUAAAGGAAGAUAAAGAUACCAGGAAAAUAAUUUUGAGCUGGCCAAACACAAAGAGAGGAUUCUUUAUAGCAUAUUGGAGAAAAAUAUUAACCCUGAAGCAACUCCAUUGCACCUGCAGCUAAUGAACUAGUUGAUAUUAAUUCAUAAAUAGGUAAGUAUUUAAUAAAUAUUAGUGUUCAGUAUAUGGGAAGAAUAAU